rnacentral:rRNA from 1 species
GUUGGCGGUGUGCCUUAUGCAUGCAAGUCGUACGAGGCUACGAUCUUCGGAUUGUAACCGAGUGGCGGACGGCUGAGUAACGCGUAAGCAACCUACCUGUGAGUGGGGGAUAACCUGUCGAAAGGCAGGUUAAUACCGCAUAGGAUAAGCGAGUGAUGCUUGUUUAUUAAAGCCUUAGGGCGCUUGCAGAGGGGCUUGCGUCUGAUUAGCUAGUUGGUAGGGUAAUGGCCUACCAAGGCGAUGAUCAGUAGCUGGCCUGAGAGGGUGACCAGCCAGAUGGGGACUGAGACACGGCCCCAACUCCUACGGGAGGCAGCAGCAAGGAAUAUUGGGCAAUGGGCGAAAGCCUGACCCAGCGACACCGCGUGAGGGAAGAAGGCCUUCGGGUUGUAAACCUCUUUUCUCGAGGAAGAAUUCUGACGGUACUCGAGGAAUAAGUCUUGGCUAACUACGCGCCAGCAGCCGCGGUAAUACGUAGAAGGCGAACGUUAUCCGGAUUUACUGGGCGUAAAGAGAGCGUAGGCGGCUCUUCAAGUCAAGUGUGAAAUCUUCUGACUCAAUCGGAAGGCGCCAUUUGAUACUAGAGGGCUUGAGAGUAGCAGAAGGAAAUGGAAUUCCCAGUGUAGCGGUGAAAUGCGUUGAUAUUGGGAAGAACACCAGUGGCGAAGGCGAUUUCCUAGGUUAUUUCUGACGCUGAGGCUCGAAAGCGUGGGGAGCGAAGCGGAUUAGAUACCCGCGUAGUCCACGCCUUAAACGGUGGACACUAGAUAUGGGGAGUAUCGACCCUUUUCGUGUCGAAGCUAACGCUUUAAGUGUCCCGCCUGGGGAGUACGGCCGCAAGGCUUAAAACUCAAAGGAAUUGA